AGGGCAGUUGCGGGACGUUCCCCGGCCUCGGUAGCUCGCUGGGCUCAUAUCCCAGAGGUCACAGGUUCAAAUCCUGUC
rnacentral:tRNA from 1 species